rnacentral:rRNA from 1 species
UAUGUAGGUGUUUUAGUAAGUCCUGGCUGAAAUCCUUCGGCUCAACCGAAGAACGCGUCAGGAAACUGCUAGAAUUGAGUGCUAAAGAGGAGAACGGAAUUCCCGGUGUAAGGGUGAAAUCUGUAGAUAUCGGGAGGAACACCAGUGGCGAAAGCGGUUCUCUGGUUAGCAACUGACACUGAAAUACGAAAGUUAGGGGAGCAAACAGGAUUAGAUACCCUGGUAGUCC